CUUUAGAUCUGUCGUUGCUGGGAACAGCGAUCCUGCGAAGUGGCACUGGUUGCCUACCAGCUAGCCUCUGUCCGAGCAGGCCACUUCAUCGUUACUUGAAGCUGCUGCAGGCUAAAAGAAGCUGAGCAAGCUCCGUGCGCAUAUGCCCACUGAUAUAACCUGGAGAGAUGGUCACUUCUGGGCACACCAUCCUUCCUGACCAAGUUGUGUGGAAAGGCAUCCAAGACACCCUUGGCCUUGGAUCACUUUUUGGAAGAAGAUCCAGGAGGGGGCAUCUCUUUUGCACGGUUUCUCGUGAC